CCUACGGGCGGCAGCAGUCGAGAAUCAUUCACAAUGGGGGAAACCCUGAUGGUGCGACGCCGCGUGGGGGAAUGAAGGUCUUCGGAUUGUAAACCCCUGUCAUGUGGGAGCAAAUUAAAAAGAUAGUACCACAAGAGGAAGAGACGGCUAACUCUGUGCCAGCAGCCGCGGUAAUACAGAGGUCUCAAGCGUUGUUCGGACUCACUGGGCGUAAAGCGUGCGUAGGCUGUUUCGUAAGUCGUGUGUGAAAGGCGCGGGCUCAACCCGCGGACGGCACAUGAUACUGCGAGACUAGAGUAGUGGAGGGGGAACCGGAAUUCUCGGUGUAGCAGUGAAAUGCGUAGAUAUCGAGAGGAACACUCGUGGCGAAGGCGGGUUCCUGGACAUUAACUGACGCUGAGGCACGAAGGCCAGGGGAGCGAAAGGGAUUAGAUACCCGAGUAGUC
rnacentral:rRNA from 1 species